rnacentral:sRNA from 1 species
AAUGCUCCGCACCGGGGAAGGAUGAGAAGCUUCGACAAGGUUCGAGUCUCACGCAGUGAGACAACGCGCUUCAGCGCGGCCCGCAGGGUG